rnacentral:rRNA from 1 species
AUUGAACGCUGGCGGCAGGCCUAACACAUGCAAGUCGAGCGCGCGGCGGACGGGUGAGUAAUGUAUGGGGACUGCCCGAUAGAGGGGGAUAAAUACUGGAAACGGUGGCUAAUACCGCAUACUAUCGGAUAACCCAUAUGGGAUUAGCUAGUAGGUGGGGUAAAGGCUCCCCUAUGCGACGAUCUCUAGCUGGUCUGAGGGGAUGAUCAGCCCCACUGGGACUGAGACACGGCCCAGACGCCUACGGAGGCAGCAGUGGGGAAUAUUGCACAAUGGGCGCAAGCCUGAUGCAGCCAUGCCGCGUGUAUGAAGAAGGCCUUAGGGUUGUAAAGUACUUUCAGCGGGGAGGCGUUACCCGCAGAAGAAGCACCGGCUAACUCCGUGCCAGCAGCCGCGGUAAUUC